rnacentral:rRNA from 1 species
AUUAUUGGGCGUAAAGCGUGCCGACAGGUGGUUUUGUUAGCCAGUGGUGAAAUCUCCGAGCUCAACUCGGAAUCUGUCCAUUGGAACUGCAAAACUAGAGGAGCAAAGAGGAAGUUAGAACGAACGGUGUAGUAGUGAAAUGCGUUGAUAUCGUUCGGAAUACCAAUAGCGAAGGCAGACUUCUGGGUGCUACCUGACACUGCUAGGACGAAAGCGUGGGGAGCGAAGGGGAUUAGAUACCCCCGUAGUCCACGCUGUAAACGAUGUACAUUCGCUGCUAGGGAGUAUCGACCCUCUUUAAUAGCUAAGCUAACGCGUUAAAUGUACCGCCUGGGGAGUACGGUCGCAAGACUUAAACUCAAAGGAAUUGACGGGGACCCGCACAAGCGGUGGAGCAUGUGGUUUAAUUCGACGAUAAGCGAGGAACCUUACCAAGGCUUGACAUGUAGCUGCAUCUCUCAGAAAUGAGAGCGCCUUCGAGGGUGCUACACAGGUGCUGCACGGUUGUCGUCAGCUCGUGCCGUGAGGUGUUCACUUAAGUGUGAUAACGAGCGCAACCCCUAUUACCAGUUACAAGUGUCUGGUGAAACUGCCGGCGUUUAAGCCGGAGGAAGGUGGGGAUGACGUCAAAUCAGCGUGGCUCUUACGCCUUGGGCGACACACGUGCUACAAUGGGAUGAAACAAAGGGACGCCAAGAAGCAAUUCGGAGCAAAUCCUUGAAAACAUCCCCCAGUUCGGAUUGAGGGCUGCAACUCGCCCUCAUGAAGCCGGAAUCGCUAGUAACCGUAGAUCAGCCUC